UCUGACUUCUGUUUGGCAAAAAUUUGCUUCCAGAAUGUAGGUUCUCUCUUCAACUCAUUGAUUGUUUCUUUUGCUGAGAAGAAGCUUUUUAGUUUGAAUCGAUCCCAUUUAUUCAUAGUACCAUUGAGAGGAUUAAAUGAGAUAGUGCAUACAAAACUCUGGGCAUUAUGUCUGUCAUAUUCACAGAACCCCAUCAAUAAGCCUAUCUAACUUUAACUUCUUUAACCUGUCUCCCUAAUCUCAUCUCUUCUCAUACAUGCAUACUCUAAACCCACAGUCACACUCACCUUAGAUUUUCAAAUAUUUUUGACAGUACUGUUAUAAAGUAGAAGAAGCAAGUAAAUGAAAAGACAGUAUGCAAAUUACCACUGGAAUUCAUUCCACCCCUAUUUUUGCAUUUCAAUCAGAUUCACAUUUCCAAGACCCGGGUCAUAUCUGACAACUCUCCUGGUGAGAGCUACAAUAAAAAACUGACUGGACAUGGUCUCUGAGCCCUUUUAAAAGCUGGGUUUCUUAGUUAUCAUAAUUAACUGAUUUUUGAAUACACAGAGAGCUAUCAGUGAACAGCAUCAGACCUGCAGAAUCAUCAAGUUAAAACUAGGUUGAGCUGCAUGGGAGAGAACUCUCAAGGAGAUUCUAUCACUUCCUGUCUCAGAGCUGAUCGACCAUACUGGAGUGGUUCCUGUGGCAGUGUUUAGAUGGAACAGUGUGUCACCAUUCUCCCAGGAUAGAUUCUGUUAAUGUUUUGAGGGCAGGGUAAAAAUCUAGUGGAGUGUAACUUGCCCAAGUCUCGAUAGGCCUAGCCAAACAGAGUUAGAGAGCUGAAGUGCAGGCAAUGGACAAUAAAAGAUAUAAGAAGGAAGUGAGGGAGGGAAAAAAAGACAGACUUAGAUGGUUGUCAUGCAAAUACCUGGUAUUGCAAGACUAUUUUCUAAGUAUUUGCUAUCUGUUAAGAACUUUCAUUUUCCUCUGAUAUCUACUAUACCCUUUCAGCAAACAUUAUAAAAAAAUUCCAACUGCUCAAUGAAUUUUCAUAAGUGGUAUUAAAAUUGAGAGAAAAGAUUCUCAGUUUCUAGAGAAUUAUAAUAAGCAAUUUGAAAUUUGAAUAGUUGGCAAUUUUUAGAUAUACCAAAUUCACAGUAAAAUCCCAAUCUUCUGUAAAUAAGUGGGCUAUAUAUUCUUAAUAAUGUAGGAUCCAGUAUUACAGGGUGCACACUUUACCCUACUCUGUCUCACAUACUUCUUAGCCUAGAACAUAGACUCCAUUAAAUAAUUUAAAUCUUGCCUCCACACAUAAACAUGCUCAUUAUUACCAUCAAUGCAUCAUGCAGUGACUUCAGAGUUAUCAAAAGUGUGUAGUGUAUUUGCCUUGUGUUAUCUGGCUUCAGUUUGCUGUGUGUUAGGAAUUCUUUCUUUUUUAUUGGGUUUCUGCAUCUUCCUUCUCUGUAAGGCUCUAAGUAUUACAGGAUGUUUCAGACAACACGUCUGCCUGAACUUACCCUUUGACUCCUGCCUGUCAUGGCCAAAAUGUGUGUGUAUGUGGGGCGGGGAGGGGGGAGGACAAGAGCAACAAGAUUUACUUUAUUUUCUUUCCAAAAGUAUGGUGAGUAUCUACUCCAUGUCAAGCUGUACAUGAGAAGUUGGAAUGCACAGAUGCAUAGGCCCAAACUGCUUCUGGGAUAAUGCAUGGAAGAGACAGGCAUUUAUAAAAUCACCAAUGAUGCCAUUCAAAACAGAUUCUGAUAACAUUUGGGGUGAAGUGCUCAGACAGGGAUCUCAGACUCAGCCUAGAGAGACUGACCAGGCAAGAUAGAGGGAGGAGGCAGGUAGGUUGCACAAGGAUAGAGGAUAGAGGGAUAGGUCCUGGGAAAGGUGGGUCUGGUAAGACAGUUCUAGAUCAUUUUUGUCAUACUGAAAUGGGGACUUGAGAGUGGUCAACUCUUUGUUGUUUAAAUUGUAAGUAUCUCAUUUUAAAAGCACUUGUCAACUUGAUCAAGUGCUAUCCUGUUUGAAACUCCUGAGUACAAUGAGAAUAAUGGGAAAGAGGGGUCUAGUUAUGACUGUAAGGUCAAGACACAUCACCUCUGAACUAAGCCUUUAAAGAUGAGCCUGAACAGAUGAAGAACUGGGAAUUAAAUUUUAUCGACUUGACUUCCUCUGGCAUGACGCAUGUGAUUGAUUUGUGUUUGUUUCUCCUUUUCUUCUGAGGGGGCAGGGAUUUGGUGUGCUCUAUUUAUCUGUUGAAUAAAAACUUCAGAAAAAGAUAUUCAAAGACGAUGUGCAUAUAAAAAUCUAAGAUGGGAUGGGUGCAAUUGUCUGGCCUUCUUUCCUUCU
rnacentral:lncRNA from 1 species